rnacentral:sRNA from 1 species
GCUGGGUGCGGUGGUGCACACCUGUAAUCCCAACAGCUUGGGAGGCUGAGGCAGGAGGAUUGAAAGUUCAAAGCCACCCUUAGCAACUUAGUGAGGCCCUGAGCAACUUAGCAAGACCCUGUCUCAA